CAAAAGCAAAAUUCAUCAUGGCAGCUCAAGAGCUCAAUGGCAAGAAGGUCGUCGAAGAGGUCUCCGGCUGGCUCCGCAUCUUCGACGAUGGUUCCGUCGACCGGAGAUGGACUGGUCACCCCUCGACCCUCCCUCUCAUAGAAGCAGUUCCCCCUUACUCCUCCCCCAUCAACGGAGUCACCGUCCACGACAUCCCUGGUGACCCUGCCCUCCGCCUCUACCUCCCCGAAACCGAAACCGAAACCUCCCUCCCCAUCCUCCUCCACUUUCACGGCGGUGGCUUCUGCUUUUCUCACCCUUCUUGGCUCUUGUACCACCACUUCUACUCCCGCCUCGCCCGCUCCGUCCCCGCCAUCAUCGUCUCCGUCGUCCUCCCCCUCGCUCCAGAGCACCGCCUCCCAGCUGCCAUCGACACCGCCUUCCUCGCCCUCCUCCGUCUCGAAGACAUUCAACUCCUCCACUCCUCAGCCGACUUCUCCCGCGUGUUCCUCAUUGGGGACAGCUCCGGUGGGAACUUGGUACACGCGGUGGCGGUGCGGGCGGCUCUUGCAGCGGCACCACCGCUCGCCGGAGGAAUUAUGCUUCAUCCAGGAUUUGUCCGGGCGAGCCGAAGCCGGUCGGAGAUUGAGAUGAAAUCUGACUCGCCCUUACUGACGUUGGAUAUCGUAGAUAAGUGUCUGGCAUUGUCUCUGCCGGAAGGGUCUACCAAGGAUCAUCCGAUUACGUGUCCGAUGGGGGAGGCCGCGCCUCCACUGGAGGGGCUGAGUCUGCCGCCGAUGAUGGUGGCGGUGGCGGAGAGGGACUUGAUAAGCGAGACAAACUUUGAGUACUGUGAGGCGAUGAAGAAGGCAGGGAAGGAUGUGGAGGUGGUGGUGAGUGAAGGGAUGGGUCACUGGUUUUACCUCAACAAAUUUGUUGGUGAGUCUGAUGCUGUUACAGGGAAGAGGACGACAGAGCUCAUCGAAGCUAUUACGAGCUUCGUCGAGCGACACUGAUUCUUGGUGUAAUGGUGCAAACCCUAGUUGUGUUUGGGGGGGUGAGAUAUUACUUUAGACUUGGCGCUUACGGUUUAAUUUCUUGAGGUUACAUGCAUUGUCUAAACAUGUUAUCAAUAAAUUAAGAUUUG
rnacentral:misc_RNA from 1 species